UGAGCCUUUCCUCGCGCGCCCCGUGUCCCGUGGCUUGCCUGGGGCUGGAGCGAGGAGCCCAUUGGGCACGACCGCACCAACCCUAGCUCCCGAUCCACAGCCAUGCACUCCUCCCUCCUCCCUCUCACAGCCGCCACACCCCAUUCCUCUCUUCCUCCUCCCUACUCCUUAACGGAUCCCUUCCACCGCCACACCCACUCGUCUCCUCCUCUCUCUUCUAGCUAACUCCUCCUUCCUGAUCUCUGCGUCAGCCGCAGCGCGAGAGGAGCAGCGGCAGCGGAGAUGCUCCGAUGGCGGCGUCGAGUUGUGAAGCGGUGGUGCCUGGGCGCGAGUCGACAGAAGCCGGAGCGGCUACUCCGGGCCCCGAUCUGGGGGGUUCGGUUCCAGGGCGCCGACAGCUUCUUUGUUUAUGACGCGGGGCCGUGCCGCCGGGGGAAGCCUUGGAUCCAUGCAGGGGGGCUCCCCGGGGGGCGCAGAGGAGGGGGUUGGACGAGCGGGUGAGGAUGCGUGAGGCCAGAAGGAGUUUGGGGUUGCCAGAGAAGCAUGGGCCGCACGGGGGCUGGUCAUCGCCAGAGCAGAGGGGAGGAGGUCGAUGCAGGGGACGCCAUGGAUGGUCGGGGCGCUGGCUCCUCCUUUCCCCAUGCCACGGCUGCCCAGAUCCGGCGAUCCCCUCCUACUCCGGCAUCCAGGUUGGUUGACUCGAUCUCUCAAUCACCCCAUCGCCGCGCUGCACACCAUCGUCAAGGACCAAGCCGCCGCCGCCACAGUGUCCUCCUCCCCGGUGGCCGCGGGUGCCCUGCCCGCCAAGCUACCCAUUCUUAUCUUCUGGAGGCAAUCUGGUAGUGCUGAGCGCACGGUGAUGCUGUCACGGUAUCCCCCUCCCCGGUGCUCUUAGAUCCAGCAGUAACUCAACACAGGAAAGCCGAUUGCGCUCGAUCUGCUCGCCUCCUUCGCCUCGCAGGCUCAGCAAGCAGCAACAACGUUAGCUCUGUUUCUCCCACUCCCCUCCCCCUCUCCCUCCUAUAGAUUUCUCUCUAAUGGCAACUCCUAUGGGUUCGGUGUAUCAUAGCUUUUUUUCUUUCUUCCAGCUGAAGCCUGCUCUCAUUAUGCCUGCCGCCUCUCUAUGAGAUCAGUAGGUUUGAUCGCCUUGUCUGCAAUUUGGCUGAUUCCAGUUAGUAUUCUUGUUCUUUAUGGGAGAUAUGAGUUUGGAUGUAGCUCACUGGCCAGAAGAACCUGCGAUGCCAGCAGACCAAUCUAGAUCUGCACGUGUUGAAUAUGCAAACAGUUAUGUAGUAUGUGCAGUUUACUUGCUCUGUUUUUACGGGGAUUUUGGAAUUUUCCAUACAUGCAUGACCUAGAUCCGUUUUGUGAUUUCCAUUGUCUAUUUACUGGUGACCCAAGUGUGUAUUAUUUCCAUCUUUCUUUGUCUUGAUAUAGCUGAAGGUCAACUGCUAGCCCAUCCGUGCAAUUCACUAAUUUAAUUAUGCCUGCUUGCUCGAAGUCUAUUUUAUAGAUGGCCGGCAUAUUAUCGUGGGAGGUGUUUAACUGUUUUCUCUGGAAUAAACUGAAAGCUGAUUAUUUUGAAAAUGCAUCAUACCGCGCUGAUUUAUAAUAAGAUUGUUACCCAUCAUCAGUUUUUGGCAUAUCCUUUUGAGUUAUAUAUCGCCAUGCCAAGUUGCCAACUAACUGAUACAUGGUUAUGGUUGAGGAACAAUGUUGAGCAGUACAAGGUUACACCAUCACAGUUCAAACACAUCUUUUUUGGUUGAUAGUUUUUGAGAUAGCUUACUGCUUAUGCCCAAUGGGAGUUUAAUUGGGCAUCUUUAAUAUUCUAAGAAUCACACCGGCGCAGCACACUUAGGUUGUUUCCAGAUCUCAUGUUUGUCUAAGUCACCAAGUUAACCCACAAGAAUUUGUUUACUUUCUUGGCUAUUGUGGUUAAAGGCAUCCUUUUAUUCGAGCUAUAUAUAGUUUUUGGACAUGUUCCAGUUUGGUUAUUUUUUUUUAUGGAUUUUGAAUAUGUUUCAAUUUGAUCACUUUUGAGACUCGGUUAGAACAGAUAUUUUUUGUUUCUUUACCAUAUAGUUCCUAAUCAGAAAAGCCUCAUCUGCAGGUUGAGGGCAUUGGCAUGAAGGUGUCGUGAGUUAUCUGCAAGGGCAUUGUUAUGACGUGCUCCUCCAUGUCUCCCGCGAGUUCUUGGUGUGGCGAUCAUGGCUCCAGAGAGCAUAAAAUGUAUGCAUUGGAGCGACAUCAUGGGUGCUGGUGGCAGAAUGACGGAGGAGCGGGAGAAGCAGGAGCUGCUCGGACGCGCUAGCGCCAGUGAGAUCUUCCAGCAUGCGCCGACGGACAAGCCGGCAUUCACGCUGGCCCAGAUCAAGGAGGCAAUCCCGCCUCACUGCUUCCAGUGCUCGUUGAUCAAGUCCUUCUCCUAUGUGGUCUAUGACCUCGUCAUCAGCGCGUCCCUCCUGUACGCCGCGUUGGUCUGGAUCCCAGCACUCUUGAGCAUGCAACAGCUGGGCGCCUGUCCGCUCUACUGGGUGCCUCAUUUUGAUUUUCUUACCUUGGUGGGUUUGUAUUCAGAAAAUUAAUUUGCCUAUUUUUUCUUUUUAAUCUGUGUUGGGAGAAAGAUGUUCCUCUUUGUUGAGAAAAUGUUUAUUGUAUGGACCAUACAAGGUUCUUUCUCCAAAUGUUAUUGUGUGGUGCAACUAUGAUCUGUUUUCCUUGUGCAGAGGGCUGCGACGAGGCAGACAGGUGGCGGGCGGCAACAAUAGGGGUUGGCGGAUGCUCCAUGACCAAUAGCCUACUUAGUGAUGGGAAGGAGGAUCCGACAAGUUAGCCCCCACAAUUGUGUUGUUGGAGAACUUCUGCGAGCUCAGUAAAAUAAUGAAUCUUCAUCUCCGAUGUUUUCUCUCGAAAAUCGAGCGUGGAUCGCAGGAGCAAGGAGCUGGUCGAGUGUAGUGAACAAGCAAUCAACGCGGCACAUUUGGAAGUUGUGAGAGCUGUGAAUGGCACUGGUCUUGUCAUACUAAUGAGCAGGAGCACCGGCCACAUUACUCUUCAUGCCACUCUGAGCAGUCGGCUGCUGCUUGAGAUUGAUUUCCAUGUUCAAGGGAAGGGAGACCGGAUUGAGUUCCUGUAUAUGCAAGAAGGGCCAUUGUCGUGGUUGUUGCUGAAGGUGUUGGUCAGGAGCUGAUUACCGGGACUGAUGACAAGAACGAAGAGCAAGAUGAGUAUGUCAACAUGCUGUUCCUUAACGUUGGCCUUUUCUAUAAAGUUCACAUGCAACUCUCCUCCAUGGUUAGAAAAAACUAAUUUGAACGUUUUGUUUCUUUGAUGGUUACUCAUUUCUCUUAUCAUUGUUGUAUCAAAACAAUUGUAUUUUAGCUGAUGGCUGCUUGGGCUCAUUUUCGAAGAGAAUGAGAUGUGGAAUAAACUACUCUGAAAUGGUUGGUUCCCUUCAAACAAUUUAUUAGCUAAUUAAUUUUGGCUGCUGUUGCACA